GGCGAACGGGUGAGUAACACGUGGGCAACUGCCCCCGGCUCUGGGAUAACUCCAAGAAACUUGGGGCUAAUACCGGAUAUGACCGCUGGCCGCAUGGUCUGGUGGUGGAAAGAUUUAUCGGCUGGGGAUGGGCCCGCGGCCUAUCAGCUUGUUGGUGGGGUAGUGGCCUACCAAGGCGACGACGGGUAGCCGGCCUAAGAGGGUGACCGGCACACUGGGACUGAGACACGGCCCAGACUCCUACGGGAGGCAGCAGUGGGGAAUAUUGCGCAAUGGGCGAAAGCCUGACGCAGCGACGCCGCGUGGGGGAUGACGGCCUUCGGGUUGUAAACCUCUUUCAGCAGGGACGAAGCGCAAGUGACGGUACCUGCAGAAGAAGCACCGGCCAACUACGUGCCAGCAGCCGCGG
rnacentral:rRNA from 1 species